rnacentral:lncRNA from 1 species
CCCUUUAUUCUGUUAAUAACAGGGACAACUGUUAAGCAAUAUGAAAUCAGUAGAUAAAUUUAUAGUUACUGUAUAGCGAAGUACACAUAACUAUAUAUGACGUGAUGAUGGUGAUGAAUAUGCUGUGCAGUAAAAAUGAUGAUGAUGAAGGUGAUGAUGAUUUUUAUUGCGCAGCCGAUGACUGUAUUUUAUGUCUCUUCAAACGGCGGUGCCAUUUCCUGGGGCACCUCUUCCAUGGUUUUGGAAAGUGUAUCCAUAGUAGUAAUAGGAACUGGCUCUUUUUUGCGAGGCUACAAAAACAUUGUGAUCGGCAGUUGCUGCCGCUGCUUCUUUUUC